rnacentral:rRNA from 1 species
UAGGGAAUCUUCGGCAAUGGGGGGAACCCUGACCGAGCAACGCCGCGUGAGUGAAGAAGGUUUUCGGAUCGUAAAGCUCUGUUGUUAAGGAAGAACGAGUGUGAGAAUGGAAAGUUCAUGCUGUGACGGUACUUAACCAGAAAGGGACGGCUAACUACGUGCCAGCAGCCGCGGUAAUACGUAGGUCCCGAGCGUUGUCCGGAUUUAUUGGGCGUAAAGCGAGCGCAGGCGGUCAAUUAAGUCUGAUGUGAAAGCCCCCGGCUCAACCGGGGAGGGUCAUUGGAAACUGGUUGACUUGAGUUCAGAAGAGGAGAGUGGAAUUCCAUGUGUAGCGGUGAAAUGCGUAGAUAUAUGGAGGAACACCAGUGGCGAAGGCGACUCUCUGGUCUGUAACUGACGCUGAGGUUCGAAAGCGUGGGUAGCAAACAGG